UUAAUAAAAUUCCCCUUUCUUUUUAUUCUCACUGUAUACUCGUGUUACAACACGACACCAUCGGAUAUAUCAAGUACUCCCCCGGAUCUCCACAUUGGUACACCACUCCAUGGUAUAGUGCUGCCUCUAUAGGCGCUUCCGUAAUUGGUGCUACUGCAUCGUCAUUAGAACUAAGCUCAUCGUCUGAUAUUAAUUCAGAUGC
rnacentral:lncRNA from 1 species